CCUCAAAGGACCCCAAAAUAUUGCUGAAUAUGAAUGAAUAAAUGAAUGAAUGAAAAUGAAUGAAUGAAGUGGCUCUACUGUUUACUAGAGGUGACCUUUGACAGGUGUGUUACCUUCUUUCCACCUCAGGUUUCAUCAUCUGAAAAUGAGAAGGCACAGCCCAGGCCCAGGAGGCAGGAUACCUGGGUCCUGCCCUGCCACCUGCCAUCACCAUCUCAGGAAACUUGCAGAGACGCAUCUAACUGCCCUGCCCCUCAAUCUCUGGUACUGCAAAACUGGGACUCAUUGUUCAGAGGCGAGGAGUUCUGUCAGAGAUUGUGCGGUUCCCUGUGUGAAUAAUUCAGGCCACGACGAUGGGAGAAUGGAAUGGAUUAAACUGGAUGGAGUUCUCUUUGGCUGAUUCGAAGAUCUAGAUGCUGAAGGAAGAAGAGGAAGCUAGAAGAGGCCAGGGUAAGGAGGUCAGCCUGAACGGGAGUGGUGGCAGGAAGUUUGGACUCCCUGCUCAAGGAGUGUUUUCAGUGUUUGGUAUUUGCACUGGGGGUCUUUCUAUUGUGAACACAAAGCCCAACUUAGAGGGAGGUAACUGAGGAAGGGAAACCGAGGAGUAGUUCUGGUUUCAAGUAGAGCUGAAUUUAAAGUCAAAACAACAUCCUUGACAAUCCAGUUUCUAUCGCUUCCGUGUGCUUCCUGCUGUGUUAGAUUGAUUCUUGGGCUCACUGUAGUGGCCCCUAAAACUUCUGGGUGAUAAAGUGGCUACAACAGCUCCAGCCUCACCCCUCCUCCUCCCAUCAGCUCAAUUCCAACAGCAUAGAGCUUGGAUCUUUCCCUUGGUUUCCACUAAACAUUUUUUUAAAUUAAUAAGAGCUUUAUUGAGAUGUAAUUUACAUACCAUACAGUUCACUCACUUAAAGUAAAAUUCAGUGAUUUUAGUAUAUUCAUGGAAUUAUACAACCAUCAGCACAAUCAAUUUAAAAAAAAAUUCAUCACCUCAAAAAGAAACCCCAUUCCCAUGAGCAGUCACUCCCCAUCCUCCUUUCUCCCAGCCCUAGGUAACCAUGAAUCCACUCUCUGUCUCUAUGGAUUUGCCUGUUCCGGACAUUUCAUACAAUACGUGGUCUUUUGCACUAGGCUUUUUUUACUUUGCAUGAUGAUUGAGAGGCUCACCUAUGUUGCAGCGUGUGCCUGAAUCUUAUUUCUUUUCAUGGCUGAAUAAUACUCCAUUGUAUGGAUUCAUCACAUUUUGUUUAUACAUUCACUGGUUGAAAGAUACUUGGUUUGUUUCCACCUUUUGUUUAUUACAGUGCUGCUGGGAUCAUUUGUGUGCAUUAUGUGAACAUUUGGUUUCAUUUCUCUAGGGUAGGUAUUGAAGAGUGGAAUUGCUGGGUGACACAGUUCACCUUUUGAGAAACUGGCUGUUUUCCAAAGCAGCUAUACUAUUUUACACUCACAUCAGCAGUGUCUAAGGGUUCAGUUUCUCCACUUCCUUGCCAGUCUUGUUGAGAUCUCUCUAUUUGGCUGUAGCCAUGCUUGUGUUGUGCAGUCAUAUCUUAUUGUGGACUCCCACUAAACUUUUGAGAGCCUUUCUGAUUGGACCACCCUGGGUGGUGAGACCAUUCCUGAAUCAAUCACUGUGUCAAGGUCCAUUUAGUGCUGGAUUGACCAGACCUGAGUCAAGAACCUCAUCCUGGAGAUCCUUCCAGACCAUGUGGACUCAGAAUGAAGAGAAGGGUUGACUCCAAGUUCAAAAUCAGAGUCAUUACUAGGCAUUUCCCAAGUGUGCUGCUGAUGUAACAGCCAACAUCUAGUUCCUGUGUAUUCUCUCUCAGGCCCUGUGCUAAGCACACGCUUCAUCAGAUGUGCUCUUCACACCAGCCCCAGGAGAGAUAAGAAAACUGAAGCUCGGAAUCUGAGUCCACAGUCCUGGCUAACUCUACAGUCCAACUCUUGCAGCCAGGCCUGAAACCCUGUGACACUGCUGUCAACACAAGUUUCCGCACACGGGAAGUGCUCAGCAAUGUUAGCUGGCACAAAUUAUGCCAGCAAGUCCUCUGGACUCUCCCUUCAUCCCACCUUUACUAAGUAUUGCCUGGUUGCCAGGAACUGUGCUGGAUUCUAGGAAUGUCUCCAAAGCCUGGCAUGAAACCCACUGGCCUCCCUCUGGAGAGGCUGUCACAGGCCUCUGGGCAUCCUUUAAUCUCUGCAGCCACAGUGCCUGAUGCAAUGGCUGAUCCUGCAUUAGUGAGCAGUGUUUAGGAAAUGGGUUUAUGAAUAAAUCACAUAUGAAUAAACAAGGGAUGAGUGGGCAGCUGGAUAGAUGGACAGAUGGAUGGAUGUACAAAUAGAGUAUAUUAUGUUGCACAUACAUUUUAAGCCUCCUCUGGAGUAUCUCUCAUAGUGCCUUUAAUUUUAUAGUGUCAUUCUCAUCUCUCUAUGAUUUUUUUCUCUAUUUUUUUUUAUUUGGUCUAGGUCCAGGGCAAAUAGGGUAGGGGAGUCGGAGCUGGCCAUGCUGGAGGUUGGAAAGGUGUUAACAAGCUAUAAAUGACCUUCCCUGGCCUAUUCAGGCAUAAGUAAUGUCUCCAAAUUGCCUACAGUCAAAACUGCCAAUUCCAAGCUGAUUGCAAUGAAUCAGGCUCCCCCUAUACGCAAUAAUGUGAUCAAUUUCUCAUUUCGCUGAAUAAAUAAGCUGGAAGAUGGGGAACUGUCUCUGACCCACCGUUAACCUUCUGCCUCGUUAUUCAUAUCAGACCUAUGACAUACAUGUAAGAAAUCCCUGGUUCAAUUUUAGCUAAUUAUUUGUUAGGAAUGAAGGCUCUGUGAAGUGUUACUGAUGGUACAAGUGUCCAGGGACCUCCGGGCCGAGAAAAUCAGGCUGAGAAAACCUUUGUCUAGAAAGAGGAAGGCUGGGAAGCAGCUUCCUUUUCUUUCCCCAGCCAAAAGCUUAGUGUUGGUGUGUUCAUGUGUUUGUGCACAUUUAUUUGCUUCCAACUGUGAUGCCCUGGGAAUUUAUGACAGUGUUGACUAUUGUUAUCUUACAUCUUCUUAUUGUAAUUAGUGCAGAUCACCCUCACAGAUCAAUUCCUUCAUUGGGAGUAAAUGCUGCAAUAGUCUUUCCCCUCCCCCCUGCCCCACACACUGUCCCCCUGGUGUGGACAUUGAGGGACCAGAGCUUUGGGAAACAUUAACAAUGUUCAUUUAAUUGGCUGGCUGCCUCUAGAGAGAUUUCUGGGGAUGCUGCAGAAUUAUGUUUGUGCUUACUGGGAGGGGUGAAGCCCAUGCAGUGGCUUUGGCAGGUGCUGCCUGCAGAAGUGCCAGACUCUGUUGACCUGGUCCAGGGGACAAUGGUGGCUUCCUUCCCUGAAACAGGGCACUGGUGGUGGGACCCUGGACCCGCCCCAGAGGCAGCUUGGAUGGAAGGUUAUGACUGUUUGCCCUUGCCAGGGCUCUAUCUGAAAUCAGCUUGGUAAUUCCCUUGAAAUCUCCCAAGACUAGCAGAAAACAUGCUAUUCUUAGGAGCAUUUGUGUUUCCUUAAGAGAAUAAAAG
rnacentral:lncRNA from 1 species